rnacentral:lncRNA from 1 species
CCUAUUGUUCUCAACACAAAAGUCAGCAGGAGAAUCAUAAUCAGAGUAACAAGUAGGAGAAACAGUAUCCACAUAACCAAAAUAGGUAGACAUGGGAAAGAAGGGGAAAGAAGAAUGCAAUGAAAAUAUGCAACUACAGCUACCUAAAUGCAACACACAAUGACGAACACAUAAAAUAGAACAUCACACUCACAACACAAGAUAAAACACCAACAGACACUAAGACAGAAAAGACCUAAAACCGAACCGUUGGUCCCCGGCAACGGCGCCAAAAUUUUGAUGGGUGUCGCACCC